UACAGAGGUCUCAAGCGUUGUUCGGAUUCAUUGGGCGUAAAGGGUGUGUAGGUGGCGCCGUAAGUCGGGUGUGAAAUUUCGGAGCUUAACUCCGAAACUGCAUUCGAUACUGCGGUGCUUGAGGACUGGAGAGGAGACUGGAAUUCAUGGUGUAGCAGUGAAAAUGCGUAGAGAUCAUGAGGAAGACCAGUGGCGAAGGCGGGUCUCUGGACAGUUCCUGACACUGAGACACGAAGGCCAGGGGGAGCAAACGGG
rnacentral:rRNA from 1 species